AAAUCCGGUUCACUUUAACACUGAGGCGUGACGACGAGGCACUACGGUGCUGAAGCAACAAAUGCCCUGCUUCCAGGAAAAGCCUCUAAGCAUCAGGUAACAUCAAAUCGUACCCCAAACCGACACAGGUGGUCAGGUAGAGAAUACCAAGGCGCUUGAGAGAACUCGGGUGAAGGAACUAGGCAAAAUGGUGCCGUAACUUCGGGAGAAGGCACGCUGACACGUAGGUGAAGUGAUUUACUCAUGGAGCUGAAGUCAGUCGAAGAUACCAGCUGGCUGCAACUGUUUAUUAAAAACACAGCACUGUGCAAACACGAAAGUGGACGUAUACGGUGUGACGCCUGCCCGGUGCCGGAAGGUUAAUUGAUGGGGUCAGCGCAAGCGAAGCUCCUGAUCGAAGCCCCGGUAAACGGCGGCCGUAACUAUAACGGUCCUAAGGUAGCGAAAUUCCUUGUCGGGUAAGUUCCGACCUGCACGAAUGGCGUAAUGAUGGCCAGGCUGUCUCCACCCGAGACUCAGUGAAAUUGAACUCGCUGUGAAGAUGCAGUGUACCCGCGGCAAGACGGAAAGACCCCGUGAACCUUUACUAUAGCUUGACACUGAACAUUGAGCCUUGAUGUGUAGGAUAGGUGGGAGGCUUUGAAGUGUGGACGCCAGUCUGCAUGGAGCCGACCUUGAAAUACCACCCUUUAAUGUUUGAUGUUCUAACGUGGACCCGUUACCCGGGUUGCGGACAGUGUCUGGUGGGUAGUUUGACUGGGGCGGUCUCCUCCUAAAGAGUAACGGAGGAGCACGAAGGUUGGCUAAUCCUGGUCGGACAUCAGGAGGUUAGUGCAAUGGCAUAAGCCAGCUUGACUGCGAGCGUGACGGCGCGAGCAGGUGCGAAAGCAGGUCAUAGUGAUCCGGUGGUUCUGAAUGGAAGGGCCAUCGCUCAACGGAUAAAAGGUACUCCGGGGAUAACAGGCUGAUACCGCCCAAGAGUUCAUAUCGACGGCGGUGUUUGGCACCUCGAUGUCGGCUCAUCACAUCCUGGGGCUGAAGUAGGUCCCAAGGGUAUGGCUGUUCGCCAUUUAAAGUGGUACGCGAGCUGGGUUUAGAACGUCGUGAGACAGUUCGGUCCCUAUCUGCCGUGGGCGCUGGAGAACUGAGGGGGGCUGCUCCUAGUACGAGAGGACCGGAGUGGACGCAUCACUGGUGUUCGGGUUGUCAUGCCAAUGGCACUGCCCGGUAGCUAAAUGCGGAAGAGAUAAGUGCUGAAAGCAUCUAAGCACGAAACUUGCCCCGAGAUGAGUUCUCCCUGAGACUUAAAGUCUCCUGAAGGAACGUUGAAGACGACGACGUUGAUAGGCCGGGUGUGUA
rnacentral:rRNA from 1 species